CCUACGGGAGGCAGCAGUGGGGAAUCUUGCGCAAUGGGGGAAACCCUGACGCAGCGACGCCGCGUGCGGGAUGAAGGCCUUAGGGUUGUAAACCGCUUUCAGCAGGGACGAAAUUGACGGUACCUGCAGAAGAAGGCCCGGCUAACUACGUGCCAGCAGCCGCGGUAAUACGUAGGGGCCAAGCGUUGUCCGGAAUUAUUGGGCGUAAAGAGCUCGUAGGCGGUUUGGUUAGUCGGAUGUGAAAUCUCCACGCUCAACGUGGAGCGGUCAUUCGAUACUGCCAUGACUUGAGUCCGGUAGGGGAGUGCGGAAUUCCCGGUGUAGCGGUGAAAUGCGCAGAUAUCGGGAGGAACACCCGUAGCGAAGGCGGCACUCUGGGCCGGUACUGACGCUGAGGAGCGAAAGCGUGGGGAGCGAACAGGAUUAGAUACCCUGGUAGUCCACGCCGUAAACGUUGGGCACUAGGUGUGGGACCCUAUCGACGGGUUCCGUGCCGUAGCUAACGCAUUAAGUGCCCCGCCUGGGGAGUACGGCCGCAAGGCUAAAACUCAAAGGAAUUGACGG
rnacentral:rRNA from 1 species